UACGUAGGGUGCAAGCGUUAAUCGGAAUUACUGGGCGUAAAGCGUGCGCAGGCGGUUUUGUAAGUUUGUCGUGAAAGCCCCGAGCUUAACUUGGGAAUUGCAUUCGAGACUGCGUAGCUAGGGUGCGGAAGAGGGAAGCGGAAUUUCCGGUGUAGCGGUGAAAUGCGUAGAUAUCGGAAGGAACACCAGUGGCGAAAGCGGCUUCCUGGUCCAGCACCGACGUUCAGGCACGAAAGCGUGGGGAGCAAACAGG
rnacentral:rRNA from 1 species